GAUGAACGCUAGCUACAGGCUUAACACAUGCAAGUCGAGGGGAAACGAUAGAGAAAGCUUGCUUUUUCUAGGCGUCGACCGGCGCACGGGUGAGUAACGCGUAUCCAACCUGCCCAUCACUUGGGGAUAACCUUGCGAAAGUAAGACUAAUACCCAAUGACGUCCAUAGAAGACAUCUGAAGGAGAUUAAAGAUUUAUCGGUGAUGGAUGGGGAUGCGUCUGAUUAGCUUGUUGGCGGGGUAACGGCCCACCAAGGCGACGAUCAGUAGGGGUUCUGAGAGGAAGGUCCCCCACAUUGGAACUGAGACACGGUCCAAACUCCUACGGGAGGCAGCAGUGAGGAAUAUUGGUCAAUGGACGAGAGUCUGAACCAGCCAAGUAGCGUGCAGGAUGACGGCCCUAUGGGUUGUAAACUGCUUUUAUAAGGGAAUAAAGUGAGUCUCGUGAGACUUUUUGCAUGUACCUUAUGAAUAAGGACCGGCUAAUUCCGUGCCAGCAGCCGCGGUAAUACGGAAGGUCCGGGCGUUAUCCGGAUUUAUUGGGUUUAAAGGGAGCGUAGGCCGGAGAUUAAGCGUGUUGUGAAAUGUAGACGCUCAACGUCUGCACUGCAGCGCGAACUGGUUUCCUUGAGUACGCACAAAGUGGGCGGAAUUCGUGGUGUAGCGGUGAAAUGCUUAGAUAUCACGAAGAACUCCGAUUGCGAAGGCAGCUCACUGGAGCGCAACUGACGCUGAAGCUCGAAAGUGCGGGUAUCGAACAGGAUUAGAUACCCUGGUAGUCCGCACGGUAAACGAUGGAUGCCCGCUGUUGGUCUGAAUAGGUCAGCGGCCAAGCGAAAGCAUUAAGCAUCCCACCUGGGGAGUACGCCGGCAACGGUGAAACUCAAAGGAAUUGACG
rnacentral:rRNA from 1 species